UGCUGGUUGAAAGGAAGUAGAUACAGCAGCUAAAUAACCAGUACUUAGCAUGUGGGACCUGGACAGCUGGGUAACUGAAGGAGGGGAAUCAUCACCAUUGUGGACAACUGAGCUGCAGUUGUCCACAACGACACAUCCACCUACAGACACAUCCACCCUGCAGCACUCCAAGAUUUACAGAACUGUGGGAACAGCAUUUGGRACCUUGCAGAACUGGACUCUGAGCAUGCAUCUCAACAGCAAAUAUCAAAGCAUCUCAAAAGCACCUGGCACAGG